AUUGAACGCUGGCGGCAGGCCUAACACAUGCAAGUCGAGCGGAUGAAGGGAGCUUGCUCCUGGAUUCAGCGGCGGACGGGUGAGUAAUGCCUAGGAAUCUGCCUGGUAGUGGGGGAUAACGUCCGGAAACGGGCGCUAAUACCGCAUACGUCCUGAGGGAGAAAGUGGGGGAUCUUCGGACCUCACGCUAUCAGAUGAGCCUAGGUCGGAUUAGCUAGUUGGUGGGGUAAAGGCCUACCAAGGCGACGAUCCGUAACUGGUCUGAGAGGAUGAUCAGUCACACUGGAACUGAGACACGGUCCAGACUCCUACGGGAGGCAGUAGUGGGGAAUAUUGGGCAAUGGGCGAAAGCCUGAUCCAGCCAUGCCGCGUGUGUGAAGAAGGUCUUCGGAUUGUAAAGCACUUUAAGUUGGGAGGAAGGGCAGUAAGUUAAUACCUUGCUGUUUUGACGUUACCAACAGAAUAAGCACCGGCUAACUUCGUG
rnacentral:rRNA from 1 species